GCAGCAGACCGCCUUAUCGCCGUUUUGAUUUAUCAGGAGGGAGGAAAGUCCGGGCACCAUAGAGCAGCAUAGCGGGUAACGCCCGUCACUGUGGGCAACCACGGGAGGACAAGUGCAACAGAAAGUAUGUACAGGUAAUGCUGUAGUGAAACCAGGUAAACUCUAUGCGGUGAAAUACCAAGUAUAUCGGCAUUUAAGGGUUGCUCGCCCGUUGCCGAAGGGUAGGUAGAUGGAUCCCGGUAGUAAUACCGGGGCUAGAUAAAUGAUAAGGAUCCUGUUUACAGGAUACAGAACCCGGCUUAUAGGUCUGCUUUUUUU
rnacentral:RNase_P_RNA from 1 species